GCUCAGAUUGAACGCUGGCGGCAGGCCUAACACAUGCAAGUCGAGCGGUAGCACAGGGAGCUUGCUCCUGGGUGACGAGCGGCGGACGGGUGAGUAAUGUCUGGGAAACUGCCCGAUGGAGGGGGAUAACUACUGGAAACGGUAGCUAAUACCGCAUAACGUCUUCGGACCAAAGUGGGGGACCUUCGGGCCUCACACCAUCGGAUGUGCCCAGAUGGGAUUAGCUAGUAGGUGAGGUAAUGGCUCACCUAGGCGACGAUCCCUAGCUGGUUAGAGAGGAUGACCAGCCACACUGGAACUGAGACACGGUCCAGACUCCUACGGGAGGCAGCAGUGGGGAAUAUUGCACAAUGGGCGCAAGCCUGAUGCAGCCAUGCCGCGUGUGUGAAGAAGGCCUUCGGGUUGUAAAGCACUUUCAGCGAGGAGGAAGGGUUCGGUGUUAAUAGCAC
rnacentral:rRNA from 1 species